AUCAUACUGGAUGCUGAGUCAUUAUAUAAAAAAUAUAUUAACCAGCUUAUUUUUGAGCAAGGACAGGAAGCAUAUGCAUACUGUAUAAGAGUGAAUAUAAUAGCUAAAAGUUAUUACAAUUGGAGGCUUAUAUCAUGCUGCUUUACAGAAGAAUUGCAAAGUUAUUUCCAUAAAUGAUAUCUGCAGCAGCAACAUAGUUUAUAUGCAUGGGAAGAGAAUACAGGAAAGAGUUGCCUGACUGCACUUUCCUGUCUGUCUCCACUGUGUUGAAGCAUAGCACCGGAAAUCAGAAGAGUUGCCCAGAAGAGCCCAGGCAACUGAGUGACUCCUUCCAGGACCAAAAGAAAAUCCAAAUGUGAUCAUAGUUCAGCUCUCGGCAGGACAACCUGUCAGCUGCCCAAUGUCUAGCUCCUGGUAGUUCCAGUUGAUCCCUUCUUCCUUCAGCUGCAGCCACAGGGCUGCUUACAAGCCAUCGUGCCCUAAGGCAAAGAGAAGCCAAAGCUGUCAGAUAAGAAAACAGCAUAGAAAGAGCAGACAAAACUGUCAGUUUAAGCCAUUGAUUUGACUGUGGCAAUCACAAAAGGCAGCUACAGGAGAGACAUUUUUGGACUACAAUGAGUUUAGACCCCAGUGGUCUUAGUGUUUCUGAAAUGAAUGGAAACCAGGCCUCUGCUGGUGCAUAAGGCCAGGAGAGCAUUAUCAUUUUAACUGUGCCCUGGAUUACCAGCUGCAUUUUAUCUUAAUGUCUGGCACAUAUUUAUAAAUGGCUGUGCACCACCUUGAGACUUAAUGUAAAAGAGAGUAUAAAAAUGCUUUAAUUUUUUUAAAAAAUGCUUGAGACUGUGGUAGUAUUCUUGUGGCAAAUGGAUUUAAACAGGGGUGGCCAACAUGUGGCCUGAUGGCAGCUUUCACCUCUUCCCCACCAUCACAUGACAGGUCAGAGGUGGCCUCUUUUAUAUUGCUGUUGACCUGGGCAGUGUCAUCUGGAUCCAGGCCACACAUCCAGGACUAAAAAACUAGGAUAUCCCUGGUUUAAGUAUGGACAAACCAUGCUGUUUUAAAGUGCCACUUCCCCAUGCAAAGAUACCUCCAAAUUCAAUACUUCUGUCAAUAUGCUUUCUCCUUCAAUAUAUUUAUUUUUGCUACAUUUCGUUCAUUUCCUGGCAUGCAUUAAUCAUUUAAAAACCAAAAAAGCAUACAUGAAGUCUUAAAUUUGUAGGUUUUUAUAUACAUAAUUACAACUCUGAGUUCAAUUAUUUCCCUGUGAUCCAAUUUCUGUAUGACAGCAACCCAUACAAUGAAAGCAAAUUGCCAUCAAAUUUUGAUGUGUUUAAUUUUCUAUUUCCUUUAUUAUGCUUUUCAUAAUUUUGUGUAAGUGUGUAUUUACCAAAAUGCAGUGAUGUAAUAUAGCAUGGUUGUUACACGCACAGCAGCUUUCCAUUUUGCUUAGUAUUUUCAGGAUUUCAGUCUAAUCGUAUAACAAUCAUUAUACUAAUUUCCUUUGACACCUUUUAAAAAAACCCUUUAGAAAGCAAGGCAAAAUGCUCAAACAAGCAGGUGAUUUUAAUAGACUUUUGUGGUGUUAGAAAGCAGCCAUCUAGCAAUUUCUUAUCUGUAAUUCUCUUACAUGCAGAGUAUUAAGCAGGGACCUCAUCGCAGUUCUACCCUUUGAACAGCUAACAAGGAAUCACAGCGUACAAUAAAUUCCCCUUAUGGAGAAUAUAAAUACAUUGGGAUGUAUUAUUCUAUGCAUUGAUUUUUAGGGACUUCGCUUCAGUGUUCUUAGGAUAAUUAUGUCUGGCUCCAGACCACAAAUCAAUGGGAACCAAAGUAAUUUCACCCCUCACUUUAAUAUAAAAUGAAAGGUUUUUUCCACCAAAAAAAACACCUUCAGAAAAUAUAAUUGUGUUUAUGUGCCUACAAAUACUUAUGAAACUAUGAACCAAUUUGCACUAUCCAUCCUGGGAUGGCUGAAGACAUUUUGCUGCCUGAGAUGAAACAGCAAAUGGUACCCACCCACACCAGAACUUUGCACAGUUAAAGUGGAUUAAAAGGUUCUGUCACCCUAGUGCAGUGGUUCUUAACCUGGGGUGCAUGCACCCCAGGGGGUGCAAGACACUUUUUCUAGGGGUUUGAGGCAUUGUUCAAGAGAUUUUUAAAAAAAAUAUUUAAAUAGAAGCAGAAAAUUAACUAUACAACCAAAGAUUUUGGAAAACUGUCAUUUAUCUUAGUUCAGUUAAGCUAAUACACACAUUAAAAUAAAAUAAAAUUAAAAUAAAAUAAAAAAUGAACUGUAUAUUUUCAGGGGGUGCGAGAGCAUAUUUUAGAAAUCCAAGGGGUGGUGGCAGUGGAAAAGGUUAAGAACCACUGCCCUAGUGCAACAAAUCCACUUUUAAAAGAAUGGGACUUUUUGCAGUUUGGAAAGUGAUGGGGAAAUGCAUUGUAAGAUGAUAGAUGAAUGAAUAACAGGAAGAUGUAUAAACCCCCUGCAAGCAAAUAAGGAGGAAGGCAGCAUGAAUGCUUAUUGUUGUAUAACUGCUCAACAAACAAAUCAGAGUGAAUACUCAAUAAAGAUCCAAUCUCUGUGUAAACUUUGUGUGAGCAAAUCAGAAUAAAUGAUUAAAAAAAGGUGGGUGGGGAGAGAGAUUUAUCUCUAAGCUCCAGCUUUGGAGAUUCUCUCUGCUUUCCAUUGUGGCCCUGUACUUCACCAAUUUGAUAAAAUGUCCAUGAUGUGUGGGUUUGGCACCUCCAAUAUGCUGAAUAGAUUUUAACCAUGCCAACACAACCCCCAUUAUCAAAAUAAGUGUGCCUCGCCUCACCCAGAUCCAUCCUUCUAAUUAAUCUAUUUUGAUUAUCAGGCCUAGGUCACACAAACAGCAGAUCUGGUAGUAAGAGCAUCCCUGAAUAUAAUCAUUGCAGACUGCUGGGUGGGGGAAUCUCAUGACUGCACCUCUCUAUAAUUUCCUGCAAAUAGAAAAGUAACAUGACAUAUAUAAGUAAUUUAGCAUAGCCCUUUUCUUUGACAUAUGUGUUUUGUA